AGAACGAACGCUGGCGGCAUGCCUAACACAUGCAAGUCGAACGUGAUCCAUGACUUCGGUUGUGGUGAAAGUGGCAAACGGGUGAGUAACGCGUGGGAAUCUGCCCAGAGGUAGGGAAUAACCGCGGGAAACUGCGGCUAAUACCCUAUGUGCCCUACGGGGCAAAGAUUUAUCGCCUUUGGAGGAGCCCGCGUCGGAUUAGGUAGUUGGUAGGGUAACGGCCUACCAAGCCUACGAUCCGUAGCUGGUCUGAGAGGAUGAUCAGCCACACUGGGACUGAGAUACGGCCCAGACUCCUACGGGAGGCAGCAGUGGGGAAUAUUGGACAAUGGGGGCAACCCUGAUCCAGCAAUGCCGCGUGAGUGAUGAAGGCCUUCGGGUUGUAAAGUCUCUUUCGGCGGGGAAGAUGAUGACGGUACCCGCAGAGAAGCCCGGCUAACUUCGUGCCAGCAGCCGC
rnacentral:rRNA from 1 species